UUGGAGAGAUCUUGUUGGCGAGUUGUUUGUUGUUUUGCCUCAACGGAUUACUCCCAUUUCAUGUCGUGCCUAAAAACACCGUUCUCGAACAUCUUAAGCCAUUUAAUAUUUAUAUAUAAAGAAAAAACUUCAAAUACCAACCCUGUGGUUUCGCACUUUCUGACUCUAGUACUACUAUGUGGUUUAAAGUGUAUUACUUUCGUACCCUGUGGUUUUAUAUUUCUCUUUUUGUUAUCCUCUUUAUUAAUUUUUUUUUGUUAAAUCAGUGAUGAAAUUAAAACUAAAGGGUACUAAAGUGAAUAUUCGAUAAACUAUAGAUAGGGUAUCUGAAGUUUUUUUAUAUGAUUUAACGAAAAGUUAACAGAGGUACUGACGAAAAGAAAAAAAUGAAAUCACAGGAUACUAAAUUCAUACACUGCAAACCACAGGAUACAAAGAAAGUGCGAAACCACAUGCGUGGUAUUUGAAGUUUAUCCAUCGUUUCAUAUAAUCUAAAAUAGUAAACUUGUCAAAAUAUCUCGAGCCUGGACGUCAAGGGGAGUGUUGAAUAUGCAGGAUUAAAAUACAGUUCUCUGACAGCUUACGGUUGUUUCACAUAAUUUAACCUGGUAUCAGAGCAGAGCAGAAACUACUGGGUUUAAUUUAAGUCCUCGUCCUGAACCUAUCGAAAUAUCUCGAGCCCAGAUGCGAGGGUGGGGAUGUCGAAUGUAUAAAAUCGGUCUCUAACUCCUUAAAGCUAUUGGAAAUAAACGGUUGUUUCACAUUUCGAUCAGAAGGAAACCAUUUGAUGAUCGAUACGUAAUCCUCCUUACUUGAUAAUUCACGACGAUUUAUAACAUUUUGUUGUCUCUAAACUUUGCGAUAUGUAAAUUCGAAAAAUUUCGAUCUCCCUCUUUUUUCUCAACAGAGAACUGAGAUGCAUGUCGGAUCUCGCGAUGUUGCUACGGAAAACAUCAUCGCCAAUCACGACUUUUCAGAAGGUUUGCGUUCGUGGCGUCCUAAUCACUGCCACGCGUAUGUUGCUUCCGACGAAUCUAAUUACGUUCCCGGAGUAAGGCCGAAUUCGGGGGCGAAGUAUGCCGUAGUCACGAACCGAACGCAAAGCUGGCAAGGUUUGGAGCAAGACGUCACAGAUGAGAUUACUUCUAAUACUAAAUAUACCGUCUCGGCCUAUGUUAGAGUUCGUGGGGACGUUCAUGAGCCGAUUGGGGUUCAAGCGACGCUGAAACUAGAGAACCAUGACAAUUCGAUUAGCUACGUAGGUAUUGGAAGGUAAUGCGGUUCGAAUGACGUUUUCAGCUUUCUAUUUUCUUUCUUUGAUCGGAAUGCUGCAAACUCCCUAUACUGUUAUUUUUAAAUGCUUUGUGUUUUAAGAGCUUAUCGACAAAAUUAGCUGAUUUAGGGUUGUGCCCUUGAAAGAACACUGGGAGAAGUUGGAAGGAUCCUUUUCAUUGAAGAGCUUGCCAAAACGUGUAAUUUUCUAUCUUGAAGGGCCCCCUCCGGGGAUAGACUUGCUGAUUGAUUCCGUCGUCAUCUCUUAUGAGGUAAUUUCUUAGCUAUCGCCUUCUCAUUCGCAUGUUUCGAGUGAGAAUAGAUAAGGAAUAAAUGUCUACUAGAUGUAUUUGCAACACAUUAGCAUGGUCUCUUUACAUGAAAAGGCUGGGUUGUUUUCUCUGAGUAUGACAUUUUCAAAUUGGAUAAACCUUGCGCUGCCUUUUGGGUAGCUUUAAAGCAAGGAUUUGAGUGUUCAUAGGUCGUGCCCACCGUGCUGUACCGUGUUGAUAAGAUAUCAGCAUGAUAUGGCCCCUAUGCUGACGUCACGGUUCAAACAUUCUUUUCUUUGAAGUUAGUAGAUAGUUACCUUGGUAAAGAGCUAAAAAUUUGAUGAAACUAUAUGAUAGAGCAUAUUGGUGCAAAGAAAAUUAAUAUUUCAUGCUACGCGCACUGGUGUGGCACAACACACCCCGUGCAGUACCAUGCCAGCAAGUUUUUGGCAUGGUCUCGUGCGACAAUACCUAAAUCCUUACUUUAAUGGAACUUCUUGGUCAAUCUUGUCUAUCAUAAGCUCUAUUUUAUGGCACCACAUGUUUAUGUCCAACAAAACAACUUUGUGUUUUGUAAACUAUCAUUUCUCUUGUUUGUGUUGUUACCUUUGUGCUAUUGAUUUUACAUCUAUUCAAUUUUUUUGGUCUAUUUUAUCUCAACCACAGAUUACUCACACAAAUAACAUCAUUACAAACCAUGACUUCUCUCGAGGGCUAAAUCCGUGGAAGCCCAAUUCUUGUCAUGCCUAUGUGGCUUCGGAGUGGUCCGGUUUCCUUACCAGUGUUAAAGGAAAAUCAGGAGAGAAUUAUGCUGUUGUCACCAAACGCACCCAAAAAUGGCAAGGCCUUGAACAGGACAUUACGGGAAAAGUUUCUGUUAACACUACUUAUACUGUUUCUGCCAAUGUUAGAGUUUACGGGGAGAUUCAGGGACAGUUUGAAGUACAAGCUACCUUGAAACUAGAGAACCACGAUUCUUCUAUAAGCUACUUACCUGUUGGGAGGUACUACCUUUGAAAUUGUAUCGAUAUUGGGCGAUACCAAUGUUUAGUUAUUAAUCAGAAUCUGCUAUUGUAGGACCCAAGGUUCUAAAGAUCAAUGGAAGAAGUUGCAUAGCUCCUUUACUUUGACGAACAUGCCCAAAAGAGUUGUGUUUUACUUGGAAGGGCCUCCUCCCGGCGUGGAUCUUCUUAUAGAUUCAGUCAUAAUCUCUUGCUCCGAUUUUAAGCAACAGAAAGUAAGCGCUCUAACGCUGUUCUGUUUUAGGACCUUUCUCGAUGCCUUUUUCUUCGGUUGAGAUUGUUACUAAUAUUGUAAUACAACACUUUUGUACUUCUUUUGCUUGAAAGGAAGUGAAUGCAGCACCUCUUUCCAUCAGAAGUGAAAAUAUCAUCCAGAACCCUCAAUUUGAAUACGGUUUAGAUAAGUGGUCUGGAAGAGGAUGCAAGAUUCUUAGACACGAAGUUGUUGGAUAUGGUAACGUGACUCCUUUUACUGGGCAAUGUUUUGCUUCCGUAACUGAACGAAGCCAGAUUUGGAACGGCGUUCAGCAGGAAAUCACCGGCAGGUUGCAAAGAAAACUUGCGUAUGAGGUUACUGCGGUUGUUCGGAUAUGUGGAAGUGCUUCGGCUGAAGUGCGGGUCACUUUGUGCGUUCAAGAACGAAAUGGUCAUGAUCGCUAUAUAGGAAUUGCCAAGUAUGUUUAAUUUGUUCGUUUUUUUUUUCUUAUUAUUAGCUGUUAUUUAACUCCUGUUGCUAAUUAUUUUUCAGUGUGUUAAUAUAAUGAUGCUAGUCGAUCUCUGUUUGGCCUACCUUCUAGAAUGGUUUCUUUGCUUCCCAAAACCCGAUGCUUGUGAAAAACCAUGAAUAAAUAAAUUAACCGGAAGUUUUGCCACGGUGAAAAGCUAAAAGAUGAGCUUUUGGGCCUGCAAAAGCAAAAGCGACAUGUUGUAGAGGAGAUUUUUAUAGAAAAAUGUUAAUAGUGGUUCUUCAAACAGCUCUACUCGAAGUCUCAAAAUCCACAUCUUUAGAAGCUCCACUCGGAUUCAAUUGUUUUAUAGAUAGUCUUCGUGACCACAUUUUUCUUUUUUUUUUUUUUACUUUAAAGAGCACAGGCAUCGGACAAGGAAUGGGUGCAUUUACAAGGAAAAUUUCUCCUUCAUGGCACUGUUUCGAAAGCUGUCAUUUUUCUGGAAGGGCCUCCCCCAGGAAUUGACAUUCUUAUCGAUAGUUUAGUGUUGAAACGUGCAACAAAAAUUCCCCGGCCUCCUCUAUUGAACUUUGAGGUUAGUAGAUCAUCUUACAUUCCAUAUUAUUUCCAAAAUUGAUGGUUGUACACUCGUUUAUCGCCAUGUCUUGCUUUUGUAGAUCGAGGAAGAUAUCUUAAUAUAAUUCUGUUGGAAAAUCUUGCUUUUCAUCAUGUGGUUCACAUUUAAAUCAUGUAAAAGUGCAAAAACGUGCACUUAGAGUAAUCUCAAGAUGAAGCAUUGCCUUUAUUUGAUCCUGUGUCUAUGAAACAUCAGCACGAAAGAACCGAGCUUUACCCAAAUAAUUUUCUUUUAGAUUAGGCGAUAUUGAGUCUAAACUGCCCUCUAUUAGGACCACUGCCAAAUUCAUAGGAUUAAUGCUACAAUCGAACCCUUCCUCUCUCUAAGGGGAAGAAUCUUCUUUCCUAACUUUACCUAAGAACUUGCUACAAAAGGGGCCUUCGACACAUAUUUAUAGAUCUCCAAAACCUCCAAUUCUAGCUAGGAUUUCUAAUAUGAUAAUGAUACUACAUAGGGAAAGGAUAAAGGAGAAAAAAGGGGGGAAAAAAAGGCAAAGGGAUAUGCAAUGAGAAAAAGAGAACGCCGACGCAGGUGAUGAGAUUACUUUGAAUCGACAAAAGGCAUUUCCUGAAAUAGAGUUGAAUUAUAGAAUCACAUAAAAGUCGGCAACAUUUUAUGUAGACUUAGUUGCUCUCUUCUUCUUGUUCUUGUACGAAUAGGACUUAAUUUUGUAGUUUCUCUUCUCAUUCAUCAGCUGUUGUCUCCUGUUGUGUCAAAGAACUCGUAAUAAUUUUCAGGGGAUUUUUUCUUUUCAUAACUGCAUAUAUCUCGCAGAAAUUCACAUCAACUAUGAAUCACUUUGGAAAUAUAGGGUAAUUAUCCAGUAGUAUCAUUUUAAAAGCAUAAUAAAUAAUCGCAGAACUGUAAAUCAGCAUAACCUUCUGUGAUCGGAUCCUAUGCUUUAAAUAAUGCAUGAAUCAUCGUCUGCAUCUUCUCUAUGUUUUUUAAAUCUGCGAUUACAGCUACUAAUUUCUUAAAUCACAUUCCUUUGUGUAUACGUUGUCUCGCAGAAUGCGCUCUAUGGAGUUAACAUAAUCAUGAACAGUGACUUCAAACAUGGUCUUGCUGGGUGGGCUCCCCUUGGCUCGUGUAGACUAAGCGUAUGUACCGAAUCGCCUCACAUGAUUCCUUCAACAUUAAAGGUCCCUCUUGGUCGUUAUAUGCUGACGGCAAAUCGCACCGAGACCUGGAUGGGCCCUUCUCAGAUAAUAACCGAUAAGCUGAAGCUUCAUUUGACCUACCGUGUUUCUGCUUGGGUUCGUGUGGGCCCCACAGCAAGCAGCCAUCAGAAAGUUAAUGUGGCUCUCGGCGUAGACGAGCGGUGGGUCAACGGUGGGCACGUCGAAGCCGAUUCUUACCAGUGGUACGAAGUUAGGGGAUCAUUUAGGAUCGAGAAACAGCCGUCGAAAGUUACCGUGUAUGUACAAGGCCCUUCGCCCGGUGUCGAUCUGAUGGUCAUGGGUCUUCAGAUAUUUCCUAUUGAUAGAAAGGCACGAUUCGAUUAUCUAAAGGAGAAAACUGACAAGGUAUUCAUUUAUUGUCUGAAAUUAAGUUACCACUGCAAAUUGUUCCGCAAUUGUUUGUGCCUGCUUGGGCUGAUGUCUAAAACAACUUCCCUACUCGAGAAGCAGAAGCUAGGUGGUUGCAAUAUGAAAAGUUUAGUUCUUCUGGCUAUAGUGGCGAGCCAAAAUAAGUUUCUGGGUUCCAAAAGUAAACGCUCGAAUGUGAAUCUUUUGCUUCUAGUUGCUUUAGGGGCUCUUAUCUAAACAGUUCUACUGAAACAGCAUUCCUAAACAAUUCUCUAGGCCUCUAUAGACUAUGUUCAGUCUUCUAGUUGUUUUUAAUCUUUAUUUUCGCCCCCUCUUAACUCAAUUGUGCAUGCAUUUUGUCACAGAUAAGAAAGCGCGAUGUCGUAAUAAAAUUGAAGGGAUCUAGUGAAGGCAAGUUUGUCGGCGCUUCAGUAAAGAUCAGGCAGAUGGAUAACAGCUUUCCAUUUGGGUCAUGUAUAAGUAGAUCGAGCAUGGAGAAUGAGGAGUACAUCGGUUUCUUCGUGAAGAACUUCAAUUGGGCCGUAUUCGAGAAUGAACUGAAGUGGUACUGCACCGAGCCCGAGCGAGGAAAGCUCAACUACAGAGAUGCCGAUGAGAUGGUUCAGUUUUGCGAAAAGCAUGGCAUGAAACUUAGAGGCCACUGCAUCUUCUGGGAAGUGGAAGAUACCGUCCAGCAAUGGAUCCGAUGUUUAAACCCUGAUGAUCUGCUGAUGGCCGUUCAGAAUCGCCUUCAAGAUUUAUUAUCCCGUUACAGAGGUAAGUUCGAGCACUACGAUGUGAACAACGAGAUGCUUCAUGGAUCUUUCUACCAAGAUAGACUAGGAAAAGAUAUUAGAGCAUACAUGUUUAGAGAAGCUCAUCGGCUCGACCCUUCCGCGGUGCUUUUCGUGAACGAUUAUAACGUCGAAGAUGGUUGCGACCCGAACGCCACUCCAGAGAAGUACAUUCAACAGGUUCUUGAUCUCCAAGAACAGGGUGCUCCUGUUGGAGGGAUUGGUAUACAAGGCCAUAUUAGCAAUCCGGUGGGCGAGAUCAUAUGCGAUUCGUUGGAUAAGCUAUCAAUACUAGGAAUUCCUGUUUGGAUCACCGAAUUAGAUGUCUCAGCCGCGAAUGAGCACAUCCGUGCGGACGACUUGGAGGUGGUAAUGCGUGAGGCCUAUGCGCACCCUGCCGUGGAGGGGAUCGUGCUUUGGGGAUAUUGGGAGCUGUUUAUGUUCAGAAAUGAUUCUCAUUUGGUCGAUGCCGAAGGGGAGAUCAACGAAGCCGGUCGGAGAUAUCUUGCACUGAAGGAGGAGUGGUUGUCGAAUGCUGACGGACGCAUGGAUAACAGCGGGGAAUUCAAAUUCAGAGGAUAUCAUGGUAAAUAUACCGUAGAAAUAACUACCCCUUCAAAGAAAAUAUCUAAAUCAUUUGACGUCGAGAAGGGAGAAUCUCCUCUAGUGAUACAAAUAUAAACUUAUCGCGUGUAUAAAAGUCGAAGAUUGGUAUUCAUAAUCUUAAAUGCGCUUCAUGUCAUAUUGAUGAGUAGUUAGCUGCUCUUCGCAGUUCUUUGUUUGUUUGUUUAUACAAACAUGGUGACAUGAUGAAAUAUGUAUGCUGCUUUGUUAUUUGUGCAGAGUGCAACUAUUUACAGCAUUGUUUGAUUAAUGUAUUUUUCAAACUAAUAUGUUAGUUUAAGAGAUUGUUGAUCUUUACAGUUAUCUAUCUAUUGCGGAUGUGUGCAAAGUAGUGUUGAACAAGAUAGCAUGUUUAUAGCUUGAGCUAUGAAAGAAAAUUUAUUUUUAUAAUUGUCUAAUGUAAUAGGUAAUGUUUGAUUUGGCCCACUAAGCUAUUUUUAUCUUUAUAAGCGAAAAUGAGCGUACGCAUGCGUGAUGUAACGAUCCGAACCGCUAGCAAUAAUAACUCGUUGGGUCUAAACUAUCGGCCCAAAAUGCUUACGAGUUAUUAUUAUUAUUAGGAUGCGAGACUACAAAAUCAAAAUUUUAUUUUUCAUCUGAAUGCAGAAUUAUUGGGACGUUACAGAUUCAAACUCUUCAAGUAUCUAUAGGAAAGAGCAUAAGAGUGAGAUGUAGAUAGUGGAUUAUUUACGGUUCUCACAAUCUGAGAUAAUAGUAUUGGCAAUAAUACAAAAUAAAAAAAUUUAAAGUAGCUUUUUUGUUUUUAUUUUUGGGUGAGUUUUAAUUUACUUCUCUAUGACUUGGCGCAUUUUUACCUCAGAACCCUAUGUAUUAAAAUUUUACUCUUUACAAUCUAAUUUUUGUUACCCCACAUAAAUAGAACAGUAAAGUAGUACAUUUAACAAAUAUAGAGUGGUAAAUAAAGUAUUUCGCUAUGAUAUAAUUUUUUAUUUUUCUAGGAGGGGCGUUGUUUAUUUACAUCUAUCCCAAUGAGCCAUCUAUCGAAUCGUUGCAAUUGAUGUUCGAUCCAGAAGAGAAGGAAGAGAUCUUCGAAAAGUGGGUUUUUAUGAUCCAAUAAAGAAUCAAACUUAUUUAAGCGUUCCUGCUAUUCUAUAUUUCUUUGAAAAUGGUACUCUGUUUAUAAUAUUUUAAGAAAGACAGAAAUUUUUAAAGAAAGAACUUAUUAUUUCUUUCUCUUCCCUCAUGUUGAGUUUUUCAAUUUUUCCCGCCGAAUGAUUACCUAUAGUAUGUCUCUUUAAAGUGAAAGUGGAAUUCAUCCUUUAUUUUUUCAUUUUUAAAGAAAAAGAUCCAGAUACAAAAUAAUUUUUUAUUAUUUUAAUUAGAAAAGUAUAUUCUAAUUCAACUAACCAAGUAAUCAUCUUCUGAGAUAAGUCAACGCAUUGCAUCAAAAAUAUGCUCAAUUAACCACCUUAUGAGAUAAGUCAACGGACACUAAUCAUUUAAAUCUUGUAAAAGAGUUCGCUCUGUUGACAAAUAUUCUUUUAAAUUUUAGUUUUUUCAAAUCUUAUUUAGCUAGUUUUUAUCUAAAGAAAAGACAUUUAUCGAAACAGAGUUAGCACUACAAAAAAAAUCAUGAGUUUGAUAUGAACUUGUUAACAUCUAUCCAACAACAACAAUCUUAGGAAAUUGAUCAUCUUCAACUGCUGGAGUUAUGCAGAUUUUUGAUUUUAUCUAAUAUUUCAAACAUUUCUAUAUAAUUCUAUUUAUUUAUACAAUUUAUAUUUAUGAUACACUAAAGUUUUUUGGGACACUUUUUUUCAAAUAAAUCCUUAAAAAUUUUUUAGUUUCCGAAAUAAUCCUAUCACAAUUUUAUUUGGCGAUGAAUGAUUCACCAUCUUUAAUAACAUUUAAAAGAGAGAUAGUGAAUCAUUUAUCAUUUCCAACAAAUCAUAUAUAGUCUUAACAACAAAAAAAAAUCCUAACAAUCUAUUCAUAUAAUUUUAACAUCAAUCAAAACUUCUAAUAUUCCACAUAUAAUCCUAAUAAUUUCAUAAAAAUUUUCACAAUAUAUAUAUAUAUAUAUAUAUAGGCUGGGGCUACUAUACUCAUAUGAGUAUAGAGCCCUUUGUACUCAUAAGUUUUUAACCGUUCGGAUGAAAAAAUGUGCGGCUAGGAGGAAAGUGGUUACAGUUAAGUUGAUAGUGGCCCCCCUAGGGUUGAGUGGGUGGUUGGUUGAAUAGUAUAAUCUAACGGGUGAAAAUGAUUAAAGGGUAGAUCUAACGGUCAAAAACUUAUGAGUACAAUAGGCUCUAUACUCAUAAAAGUAUAGCAGCGGGACUCAUAUAUAUAUAUAUAUAUAUAUAUAUAUAUAUAUAUAAACAUCAGAUAAAAAUAUAAAAUAAAUAAAAUAAUUCACAGAUUCCGAAAUAGGGAAAACUUCCUGUGUGCCUUCUAAAAGCAUGUAUUAUUACAAAUGCCGCCUAUAAAAUGAAAAUAUUCUAAAUGCCCCUCUAAUAUAGAAAACUUUCAAAAUAAACCCUUCAAAGACACAUUUUUUGUAUAAAAUGUACAGUAACAACAAUCAAAAUACGAUUUUACCUUUCAUAUUGCCCUUAUAAAUGUUCAAAUUAUACUAAUGAAGACUUAAUUCAUCAUACCCUCUAAACUUCAAAAUAUAUACAAUCCUAAUUUGUUAUACACAAAUAUCCUUACAAAUACUAUCUAUAAAUAUAUUCUCGUUGUCAUAUUCUAUCUCCUACCAAACAUCUAUUAAUUUAGAAAGGUUAUUAUGAAUUAGUGAAAAUGUUCAUUUAAUCCUGAAUUUUUAAAAUUUUUGAAAAGCACUUUAAGUGAUAAAAUGUACAACAAAUAAAUCUUUCAAAACUGCCCCUCAGUAGUAAUUAGUUUAAUAAAGAUAACAAUUAUAUUUAAAUAUUAUUAAAAUAUAAUAAAAAAGUCAAUUCACACUGUAUUUAUAAUUUUCAUUUCCUAAACCUUAAUUAUAAAAUUAUCAGAAAUCGAGUUUUUUUUAAAAAAAUUUGUAAACAAUGCUAAAUCGUUUUAUUGUAAUUUCAAAUCUAGUAAGUAAUUUUAUGCUUUAUAAUUAAUGAUAAAACUGUAAUUUUUCAGCUAUUUACUAUUUUCUCUCUCCAUUUUAAAAAAAUUAAAAAUAUUUAAUAAUAUUGAGUAAGAUAAAAAUAUUAUUCUUUUAGAAUAUAUAAUUCUUCCAGAAAUCAAUGUGAAAAUAUAACUAAAUAACUUUUAAAUUUGUAAAACUUUUAAAUUUAUGGGGUAUUUACAAAAGUUAAAAUUAUUACUAAUAAUAGGAAUAUUUAAAAGGGCAAUUAUGAAAAGGGUAAAAUCGGUAUUUUGAUUGUUGUUACUGUAGAUUUUAACAAAAAUGUGUUUUGAAGGGUAUUUUUGAAAGUUUUUUUAUAUUUAGAGGGGCAUUUAGGAUAUUUCAACUUUUAUAGGGGCAUCCAUGUAAAUACAUACUGUUAGAGGGGCAAACAGGAAAUUGUCCCUUUGAAAUAUGGUGAACAACUUACCACCUUUCUUAUUUUUAUUCAACAUAACACGAAUUUGGCAAGAACAAAGUUAGUUGGUCAAAUAAAAUAUUGAAAGAGUAAUUUGAUCAAUUAGAAAUUUGCUACGAGUUAUUUUUUUUAAAAAAAUACUUUUUUGAGUUAAAUAUGUGUAGGUAUAUAACCGGGAAGUACAUAAUUAUAAAAUGGAUCAUAACCAUGUCUAAAUUUUUCAUUAUUUUUUUGAAUAAUAUAAAUUUAUUAUUUACUUCUAAGUUGAUACUUUUGAAAGUAAAUGCAUGUUUUUUUGUUUUUUUUUUUUAGAGAAAUAAAGUAAAUGCAUGUUGGCCUGUUCUUAGCUAAGAUAGUGGUUUAUAUGCAUUGGUUCUCACUACCCCUUUCAUAUAUAUAUAUAUAUACUCGCGCCAAACUUUAAAAACCAUUAUAUGUCACAUAAACUUUUACUUAAUCCCUUAAUUAGGUCGUCUAUAUUCUGUAAAUUUAAGGUAACUAAUGUUAGUCAAAUGAUUGAGAAACAGCAAAGAAUGCAUGCCAAAAAUAUUAAAGGAUUCUUUUCAUGUUAAAUUUAAGGUAGCUAAUCUUAGUUAAAUGUCAAGAAACAACAAAGAAUGCAUGCGAAAAGUAUUUAAGGUAACCAGUUGCAGUAAAAGAUAAUUUUUUAGCAUUUAAUUGUUAAAAAGUAAAUGUGAGAAUUGUGAUCAAUGAUUUAGAGGAUACCAUGUAGAAAUAGCAUUCCAUGUUCACAAUAUUAAUUUAAGCUAGUGGAUCAACAACAGUAAUUUAAAAUUAAAAAUAUACGAAAGUUACAGCAUGAUCAGCAGUACAGCAUCUGCUUUACAGACGGCAAAGCAUAUAACAACUACCAGAAGAAGAACAGAAGUUUGAUCUUAGUCUUCCGCACCAGAAAAACUCAAUAAAUAACUACUAUAAAGUUUCAGCAUUCAAAUAUGCAAAGGAAAGGUUAAAGAGAAAAAACAGUUUGAAUACCUGUCGAGUUUUAACACUAGUAUGUUUCAGAAUUUAACAGCAACUGGUUCAGAGCAAUAUGGGCAGUUCCCGAAAAGAACAUCAAAUGACCUGAAAAAGCCAAUCGGAAGUGCAUAACAUUUCGAAAGAAACCGAGAAAAGCAUUAAAGCAAAUAUACGAACAAAUACGACAAUAAGGAUUUUAUUAUCCGAACUUACUGCCUUGUUGUUGUGAUUGUACGCAACCAAUCUCUCAAGCAAACGGUGUGGAAAGCUUUACUGCAACUGGCAUUUUCGCAUGUAUAAUCCGGCGCACAUCCACUGCUAGCCCCGAGUUCGUCAGCUUGCGAAACAAAGAAGUUGUAUUAUUUGAAAAACAAGCAAGUGUUUAUCUAAAAUACCAGAUAUUAAUGACUGUUUCCGCAAUGUUGCGUAUUUACGAAGCUGCGUAUGCGAAAGAACACAGAGAUCCUAUGAGGCAAGAAACUCACCAACAGGCAGGUGCUUGGCGUAGCAAAUUCCACAGUCAAGUUGAUCAUCGUCUUCGGCGCUUGCUGCAGGAGGUUGAGGUAAUUGAGUCUCUAAAAUGGUUGCGAGAUUUUCGUGGAAUGCUUUGUCACUUGUCCUAUUUAUUAGAAGUAGAAAAUAAUUACAUAUGCUCUCUAGAACAAAUGAUUAGUACCAAGAAUUUAAGCGCCCAUCAGCGCCAUGCACGCCAUGCCGCAUCAUACCAACAAGAUAUCAGUAUGAUACGAACCCAUGACGAUAGUUAACAAAUAGUUAUCUCAACAAAAUGCAAAAUAUUGAAUAUAUUAGUGGCAAAGAAAUAAAAUAUUUUAUGCCAAUGUGUGUCGGCGCACAAGUAUUUUUUUCUAAACAACAUGCAACAAGUUUUCGGCACAACCCUGUAUCACGGUACUUAAAUCCUUGAUUAGUAUAAAUAUUGAAAUAGACAUAGAACAAACAAGUAACAGUCUAAAACAUAAUUAACACAAAACAAAGGAAAACGUCCUGAAAUUUCUUUUAAUUAAGACCACCACUAAGGAAAAAUGGCUUCAACUCUUCAGGAACCUAAAAUUUGAAUGAAAUCGCUCUUCCUUCUUGGCGCGCUAUGUAUUAUUUGUUAGAUGUUAUACACCAUAUCAAUACAACAGUACGCAAGGAACAUAACUGAUGAAAAGGUCAAGAGUGGAAUACCAUUUUCUGCAAUUCUUUCUCCAAUUCUUUACUAGUAAGUCAACAGUUCCGUCAGGGCCAAGAAAACGGCACCUAGAGAUUCAGAAAUUAAAAACUGUAAACAUGAUAUAGGGCAUCAUCCUCUGUACCAGACAAACUUACUCUGGCAAGGAGUUCGGUUUCCUCGCAUUUAUAUUAAGUAGAAGACAGCAAUCAUCACCUAAACAACCUCCAAAUGUGAAAAAAAGGGGUCCGGUCUGAUUGUUUGAGAGAAGCUAACAAUCAGAAACCAAAAGGGCAAAAGGUUAAUACAAUAAUAAGGAAAAUUCACCAAGAACAACACGCCGAUACGAUGCAGCAAGAGGCGGCUGUUUUGGAUCGACAACCCAAAGAGUCUUGUCAAUGUCAUCCAUUGUGGACCAGAAUUGCUGCAACUUCUUCAAAUGCUGUUUAUCGUUGUAAAACAAACGAGUACGCAUGAUCAAAGAAUGUUUAGAAAUCGUGAAAAUAAAUAUGAUUAACAGCAAUGCUUUUAUGUACCUCGCGAAACUGAUGUACAACAUCUUUCAAUCUUGAGGUUCUCGACCAGUGUAUCUUCGCUACAUACGGUAAGUCCUAAAUUGAGCCAAAAAAAAAAAGGACAUAAAGAUAGAGAAGGUUCUACAAUCUGUAGACAUCAACGUAACAUUUUGUGGAAGUAUGAACAGAGCCAGACUAGCCAUUCGUGAAGUAUUAGUUGGUUAAACUUCGGUAGUCAGUUUUAUUUAUGAUUAACAAAGUUUGAGCAAGGUUUUUGGCCAUCACAAUUCUCUCUCUCUUCCUCCAAUUUCCUCCUAAUGACUCUAUCGGGUACCAGUUUCUGAAGUUAUAGAUACGACCACAUACAGGUGAAGCACGGCUCAAGGAUUAUUUGGAAAAGUUUGGAACUGUAAAUAUGUUGAAUUAAAGAGGUGACAACUUAAAAGAAUCAAAUCAAAGAAAAACAAGGAAAGAAACUUACUGCAGCAAUUGACGGAGAACAUUCAGGGUAGUUUCGAGGCAGCAAUAUCUCCAACUGAUGCGCUCGCCCCUUCUCAUCUCUGGCAAAUAAAGACACAUCAAAAUGUGCACUCCGAGUUCAUACAAGACAAUGUCGACGAGAGAAAGGAAAACAGUGCAUUUCAUAGACAUAAAGUGUGGCAUGUACAUGAAAAGAUGUUACUUCAAAGAAUCAAAAUUAUCUAAGUGAAAAUUUACGGCCUUAUUUCGUCAUACUUCUUCUUUUCAUGCUUUUUAAAAGUUAUAUUACAUAAAACGAACUCACUGUUGGAUGCAAGAUUUUUUUGCAAUCUAUAUAUCUACAGUAAGUGCUUGGCAAAAGAAAGCAAAAAAUUACAACUAAUUUCUUUUUUUUUUUCGCUUCUUUGCUUUCUUAAAGAAGACGAUUUUGCAAGCUAGCGCCAACAACAUCUACAGAAAAGUCCAUGUGUUGAAAUGCUCAAUAGCAGAGAAUUUAGAACCAAAUGAUUGCUCCAAAGUGAAUAAUUUAAUAGCCUCGACAAACAAUAACAGCGAUUCAAGCUCCAACAAACCUGAUUUUGCUUUGAUACAUUUCAUUCGAAUCGCGUCGGCAAAAAGAUGAAUGAGUACUCUUUAACAGCUUACUCUCUCAAUAAUUCUUUAUAUGCUAAAGAAAUCAAACAGCAUAAAUUCACCUUUUCUUUUGCAGUAGACUAUAACUUCGUCUAGACAUACUCAAGUAAACUUCCAAAAACACAUAAAUAAAAGUGUUCAAAAGCAUAAAAUAUUCGAUAUCAAUAUCAUUCAUUAAGUUACCCUCCAAAUGAUGCUUUAACUUAAGCCAAGAAAAUUGCUAAGUUCAGAAGCUUACAGGACGCGGAAACUGACCGAGGACAGGUCGUCCUCCGAAUGUAUCAGAUGCUCCCAUCCAAUCUCUUCUAUCUAUUCAGCGCCAAAAUUCCAAGAUCAAGCAAAAUAAGCAAAUAUGUUUGGUUCAAUUUUUCAUUCGAGGAAAUGCUUUGGGUCCUGCAGAAUGCUGCCUUUAUGGACUGUUGAUGUGUUAGCGAACAGACGUAACACCCUCGGACUACUUGCAAGAAUCAAUCAAAAGCCUCCACAUCAUAUAUGCCAACACAUCAACAACCUACAAAACCAGCAUUUCAGGACUUGCAGUUGUUACUUUUUAGUCCGAGAAGAGCUACCUAUAGGGCCCGUUCCACACUUAAAAUUGGAUUGAACGGGAUAAGAUAAGAUAGCAAUGUUAAAAACAGAGAAGGUUUUUACGAUCCAGGGGCACCAAGGGCCACGACAUAGCGUUGAAGUAAUCAAAUCCCACCCACGAGGUACGUAUUGAGAAGGAUUAGAUGCAAAAAAAAAAAAGCACUACUACAAGCACUCUGUAAAUGCUACUUUUAUAUAUUGCUGAUGUAUUGGCAAACUCAUGUGGCACGUCGGAGUGCGUGCAUAAGCCAGUCACAAACCUCCAUUCACAUAUGCCAACACGUCAGCAAUAUAACGAGAGACACUAUGUAGGGGGACCUAAAACAUUUCUCCAAAAACAACCCCGUGGUGUCCCACCACAUCCCCUGCGUCGCCUCUGAGUAGCGAAACACAUUCUCUCUCAUCUCACCACUCUCUUAUCUUAUACUAUUUAAAUACGGCUAUGUGAAAAACAGGGAUUUUAAUAUAAUGGAAAAAAAAUGCACAUAAAAAAAAAACAAUGGUUCCUCAUUGGGGCAUUUCGUCGAACAGAUGAUAGGAUGGUUUCAGUUGCCUAAAAAAGCAGUGAAAAAUUGGUACCUACCUCAGAGUAGAUUUUACUGUACAGAGAGGGUGGAGGUGGCGAAGGUUCCUGAAACUUCUAGAAUCAUGAGAAAAUUAAAUUAGUUCAAAUUAAUUUAAAUUAAAUUGGUUGAGAAAUGGGAGAGAGAGAGAGAGAGAGGGACCUGCAUUUUGUCUCAAAAACGAAGUGGGGAACAAUUAAUGAAAGAUUUUGGUUUGAAAUUGCAAUUGUUCCCUUCGUUUCCAAAGGACGGGAAAAAGUGUAUUAAGACCCCUCAACUACAUGCUAAUUUAUACUGGAUUCUUAACUUUUUUUUUUUAAUUUCUGGUAAAAAAGUAAAAAUAUAGGUAAAAAUGCAUAGAAGGUCCCUCACCUAUCAACCAUUUAUAUCUGACUACCUGGUCUUUAAAAAUUUUAAUUUUACUAUGUGACCUUUUAAUUUAUUUUAUUUUUUUUAAAUUUAAAUUUUUAUUUAUCUUUAGGAAUUUAAUUAGUAUAAAAACAGUGAAAACAGUAGAAUAGAAUAGGUAUAAAAUUAACAAAUUCGUAAUUCUAUUAACUGAAGAAGCUUUAUAAAUAGCUAUAGUAAACAGAGGAUUUGCUAUUAAUUAAAUAUAACAUAAUAAAACAGGAAAAAUUCAAAAAAAAUAGAUAUAAAAAUAACAUUAUCCCUAAUUUAUUUUGAUAAAGUAACAAGUAAUUUAGUCGAUAAAUAACAUGAAAAAACAAUAAUUAAGGGAGGACGAAAAAAAAAAAGAACGUUAUCCCUAUCUUAUUUCAUAAAGUUUUUUUUUUUGAAAUAGGUAGUACGCUAUUCAUUUCAUUCAUUGAAAUUGAAAAGAUGAACUAAGCUAAAGGGAUGAGGCAACACAAGCCGGGGGGGGGGGGGGGGGCGAGAGGCGAUUCGUCAAUUGCUUAAUCUCGUGAGCUGUAAGGAAGAGGUCCGAUUGGAUCUUCUUAAAAAUCACGUCGUUCCUGACCUCUCAAAUUAUCCACCAGUAGAUUAUCAAUUCAGAUAACGUAAUAAUCAACGACUGCGUUCUAAUCCUUGUCAUCCACUUUUUCCAGACCGAGAUUGCUUCAUCCCCCCAAUUUCUAGACUAGGCAUACUCCAAAGUCGUCACCAUUAGAAAUCUCGACAAAGUAACAUCAAAAAAUUGGGGAUUUAAUAAUUUAAAAGAGACAAAAAAAAGAAAACGUAAACAAAAUAGAAAAAUAAAUAAAUUAAAAUAUUGUGGCUGCUGGGAUUCGAGCCCAGGUCUCUACGGCCACAACGUAGAAUUCUUACCACUAAACUACAGCCACCAACAAUUGUUCAUUUUUUAAUAUGAAUUUAUUUAAUCUAUAAUGUUAUUUACAUUAACCACAAUAAAUUAAUUUUUUGCAAAAUAAUUUAAACUUUUGUUCCCCAAACUAAAAGGAGAAUGAUAAGUUAAUCCUCAAACCUACCCUAAUUGCAAUUUCCAACUCGAAUUUCUUAUCUUAAUUACAAUCCAAUUUAGUCGACAAGAUGCUUAUUUAUGCAUGAGCCACUGUUGAAUUAUUACCAUAUCAGCAAUAUAUAAUAAUUCAAUUUCAGUUAAUUAAUAUUGUUAAAAUUAUUUUUGAAAUUUGCCGAAACAAAAAGUCUAAAUUAUGGCUAGAUACUAUGUAUCUGCUCUGGAAAUAUCAAAACCAGCCUUGGUUAUAUCAAUAUUUUAUUGUGAAAUUUGAUUGUAAUAAUAUAAAAAAUUUGAGUGAAAAAUUAUAACAAUAAGUUAUUAUUUGAGGACUAAAGUGCAAGGCAAUUAAUCACAUAUUUAUAAGUGAGUUAAAAAAUUAGUAAAAAUAUACAGAACUUAACGCAUCCAUCACGCAUUUAGAUACAACUGUUUAACAUUUAAAACUUUUAAUUUUUCUAUCUAAUAUUUUAAUUUGUUCGAUUACAGUAUUUAAAAUAAAUUUGGUUAAAAAAAUAAAGAUAUGGUAUUAUAGUCUCAUUUUCAACCUAAGAAUGUUCAAAUCAACGACUCAUACCGUUAAAACUGAUUUAGGAUAUUUGAAGUUUUUAAAAAUAAAAUUUUAUAUUUUUCGACAUAAUUUUCUUUAUGAUCAAUCCAUUUAAAAAAUAUCUAUUUUCAAUAGUUAUUAUGAUGAGUUUGUAAUUUAAUUAACAGUAUAAAAAAACUUAAAUUUAUUUAAAUUUUGAUAGAAAAUAUUUUAACCAUCUAGAUCAAGAUUAGCAUCUUUGAUUUUGAAUUCAAAAGUCCUAUCAUUAAAUUUUAAAAAUUGUUUAAUCUCCACCAUUUAUUUUGACAUAAUUUACAUUAAGUAAACGAUGUAGAUAGAAAAUAAAAUUUUAUUUUUAAGAACUCUAUAUAUCCUAAAUCAUAUUUAAUAGCAUAGAUCGUUGGUUUGAAUGCCCUAAAAUAAAAAAAUGAGACUAUAUUACCAAAACUCCCAUAGCGAGUUCUGCUACUAUACUUUUAUGAGUAUAGAGCAUUUUAUAUUCAUAAGUUUUCUACCGUUAGAUCUACCCCAUUAAACAUUUCCAACUGUUAGAUCAUACUAUUCAACCAAUCACUCACUCAACUCUAGAAGACCUCUAUCAUCCUAACCGCACAUCCCUUCAUCCAAUGGCCGAAAACUUAUGAAUAUAAAGAGACCUAUACUCAUAAGAGUAUAAUAGCCNUUGGAUUUUAUAUAUAUAUAUAUAUAUAUAUAUAUAUAUAUAUAUAUAUAUAUAUAUACACACACUCCUAUGCUUUCGAAAGUAUGGAGGAUUCCGUACUUGUAAGUUGUUUUCGAUGAUGGGGCAUCCGAUUCGGCGAUAGGUUCCAUUAAAUAUGAUCUACGCUAUUGGAACUAUUUAGAAACCAAAUUUCAUAAUUUUUUGACUUCGUUUGUCUAGUAAACGAGUGACCUCAAAAUAAACGGCUGAAAAUAAAAAUCUCAUAAAAAAUUGUGAUAAAUGACUCAAAUUUCAAAUCGAAAGUAUUGAUUUUGCUAUUGAUGUUAAGUAGAAUUUUCUAGUAAAUUUUUAUGUAAUUCGGAUACUUUUACACCGCUGAACUUAAAAACGUGCCACAUCGGGCGUUAAAAUAAUCAUUUUUGAGACCUUUUGAUAAAUUGGUAAAUGAUGUCAAAAAAUUAUAAAAUUUGAUUUCUAGAUAGUUCCCAUAGAGUAUAUUAUACUUAACGGAGCCGAUCGUCGAAUCGGAUUUCCUAUCAUCGAAAACAACUUAUAAGCACGGAGGUCUCCGUACUUUCGAAAGUACAGGAGGCUUACUCUCUCUCUCCGUUAAGUAUAAUCUAUCCUAUUGGAACUAUUUAGAAACCAAAAUUUAUAAUUUUUUUAUAUCAUUUACCAAGCGAUCAAAAUGUCUCAAAAAUGAUUAUUUUAAUGGCCGAUGUGGCACGUUUUUAACUGGUUUAUGUCAACGUGUAGAAAUAUCAAAUUAGAUGAAAAUUAUAGAAAAUUCUACUUAAAUCAAUAGUAAGACAAUAUUUCGAUUUGAAAUUUGAGCCUUUUAUCACUAUUUUUAUGAGAUUUUCAUUGUUCAGCCGUUCAUUUUGAGGUACUCAUUUACUAGAGAUAUUUGAAGUGCUAGAAAAUAAAUUUAUUAUUUUUCGAUAUCUAUUUGCCUAGUGAUCAAUAGGUCAAAAUCAACAAAUUUCAAUGGUCGUAGUGAGCCGUUUGCAAGUUUAACGGGUUAGAAAUAUCCACAAUCACUGUGAAAUUUUGAUUAGAAAUUUUUUAUACUAUAUAAAACAAGACGAUAUCUUUGAUUUAAAAUUUUAAUGUCAUAAUUAUCACAAUUUGGAUAGAUUUUAUUUUCAGCCGUUGAUUUUGAGCCCUUCGUUCACUAGGCAAAUGAUAUCGUAAAAUCAUAAAAUUUAUUUUCUAGGUACUUCAAAUACUCUAGAUCAAGUUAACGGAGACGAUCGACGAUUCGAAAGUCGCAAAUCGAAAACGAGUUGGAAGCACGGGAAGCUCGUAGCCGGAUAGCCAUAGUAAGCUAUCUCUUUCUUCUUUUNNNNNNNNNNNNNNNNNNNNNNNNNAUAAAAGUAAGUAUUAUUAGGGAUCUAAAGGAUGCAAGCGGCAGAGCUUAAUCUACAUAUUAUAUAAGGAAUGUAAAACUUAGGGUAAAAAUGUGAUUAUCGAGCUUAACGGAGCGCAUUCGAUCAUCGCUGGAUUUUUAGAAAAAGUGUUUAACUUUAUAAACAUUUUUUUAAUUUUCUAGAUUAUAUUACUUUUCUAAUAUUGUCUACCCCGCCGCGCUCUUGUCACGCCGCCGGAGCCCCCCAUGAGGUGGAAUACUCUUUCUAUGGACAUAAAUCGUCAGUCGGGGUUCCUGCUUACCGAAUUCUUACAUUAACGAUAUAGCCCCUUUAUCGCCGUUGUACUCCGUCCUUAGCUCGUUUGCGUUCGAUUUUCAACGUCCUGAAAGAAUGUCAAGAUGCAACGCAUAGGCCGGUGAAAAGACGCCAUUCUUCUACUCUUCUCGCAACAAUUUAGGAUAAUUUAUGAAUUGUUAUUUAAAAAAUAAAAAUAGUACUAUUAGAUUCCAUAUUCGACAUAUUUCUUAUGUAUUGAGUUUCCUCACAUUCCUUUUUAGGCUCCACUCACCUAUUCCUUCCGAUCAUUCAUUUCCCUCACUCCGCUUCCAAUAUCUUAUUAUGAUACUGGUUUGUCAAUUUAAGAUUAACACAGUGUUGUUAACAAAAACUUAAAUAUUAUAUAAAUUUUGAGAUAGAAUAUGUAUUUGUUCC
rnacentral:lncRNA from 1 species